AACGAACGCUGGCGGCAUGCCUAACACAUGCAAGUCGAACGAGACCUUCGGGUCUAGUGGCGUACGGGUGCGUAACGCGUGGGAACCUGCCCUUAGGUUCGGAAUAACUCCCCGAAAGGGGUGCUAAUACCGGAUAAUGUCUUCGGACCAAAGAUUUAUCGCCUUUGGAUGGGCCCGCGUUGGAUUAGCUAGUUGGUAGGGUAAAAGCCCACCAAGGCGACGAUCCAUAGCUGGUCUGAGAGGAUGAUCAGCCACACUGGGACUGAGACACGGCCCAGACUCCUACGGGAGGCAGCAGUGGGGAAUAUUGGACAAUGGGCGAAAGCCUGAUCCAGCAAUGCCGCGUGAGUGAUGAAGGCCUUAGGGCUGUAAAGCUCUUUUACCCGGGAUGAUAAUGACAGUACCGGGAGAAUAAGCUCCGGCUAACUCCGUG
rnacentral:rRNA from 1 species